UCUCGCCUGCCCACUGACUAUAUGUUUAAUGGCCGUGGUAUCUUAACCACGCGAAGGUAGCGUAAUCAUUUGUCUUUUAAAUGAAGACCUGUAUGAAUGGCAAAACGAGGGCUUAACUGUCUCCCCCCUCCAGUCAAUGAAAUUGACCUCCCCGUGCAGAGGCGGGGAUUAACCUAUAAGACGAGAAGACCCUGUGGAGCUUUAGACCUAUAUUAAACUUACCUAACAAGUUCGAGUAUGAGCCAGACCCUAGUAAAAAUUAAUGAAGUGUCUUUGGUUGGGGUGACCAUGGGGCAACAUAAAACCCCCACGAAGAUAGGAAAUUACUUCCCAGCACUUAGAGCCACCCCUCCAAGUAACAAAACCUUUGACUUUAAAAAUGAUCCGGCUCAGCCGAAUAACGAACCCAGUUACCCCAGGGAUAACAGCGCAAUCCCCUUCCAGAGCUCCUAUCGACAAGGGGGUUUACGACCUCGAUGUUGGAUCAGGACAUCCUAAUGGUGCAGCCGCUAUUAAGGGUUCGUUUGUUCAACGAUUAAAGUCCU
rnacentral:rRNA from 1 species